rfam:Sorghum bicolor cultivar BTx623 chromosome 2, whole genome shotgun sequence.
GUUGUCGUAUUCAUUUCAAUACAUGUGUGUUGAUGUGGAUUGGGUGGAAUUUAGUUCAAGUUCCACUCCAAUCCACCUCAACACAUGUGUAUUGAUGUGAAUCCGACA